UCGGCCUCCCAACUCUCGAACCAGGAGAGAGAGAGAGAGAGAGAGAGAGCGAGAGAGAGAGAGAGAGAGAGAGAGGAAAAAGCUCACCUCGGGGGGUUCAUUCGGAUGACCAGCUUCUCGUAUUCGUCAUCAACCUCACUAGAAAUUGACCCACAGCUCAUCAUCGUCGAAGACAGGGAUACGAUUAGUACCACUCUUGUUUGAUCCAGAGGAUGAGGUGAGAAUGAACAGAGAGCGGUAAGAGAGAAUGCUCAAGUGAAAAGAUUCCUCCUUCACUCUUUAAGUGUACUCCAGCCCUCCUCCCUACGCCUCCUCUGUGCGAUGUCUCCCACCUCAUAUUUGCUUAUGGGGGUAGCACAUGUUCCUUUUUCUCCACAUUCCUCUCUUUGUGGUGGGGCUUGCGGCUCUCCGGUCAGAGAGAGAGAGAGAGAGAGGGAGAGAGAGAGGCGGCAAGGUUUGGCUUUUUGACCGCAGAAACUUACCGCACCAUGGGCGGCAAGGUUUGGCUUUAUGACCUUCUUUGUUACGAGAUGGUAUAAAUAAUGGUGAUAGGGGCAUGGUGCUACCUGUCCAUCGUGCAUUGCUGCUGCCACUGGAGUGGUCCUCUCUCACCA
rnacentral:lncRNA from 1 species